rnacentral:rRNA from 1 species
GGGGGUCAUCCCGACUUACCAACCCGAUGCAAACUGCGAAUACCGGAGAAUGUUAUCACGGGAGACACACGGCGGGUGCUAACGUCCGUCGUGAAGAGGGAAACAACCCAGACCGCCAGCUAAGGUCCCAAAGUCAUGGUUAAGUGGGAAACGAUGUGGGAAGGCCCAGACAGCCAGGAUGUUGGCUUAGAAGCAGCCAUCAUUUAAAGAAAGCGUAAUAGCUCACUGGUCGAGUCGGCCUGCGCGGAAGAUGUAACGGGGCUAAACCAUGCACCGAAGCUGCGGCAGCGACGCUGAUGCGUUGUUGGGUAGGGGAGCGUUCUGUAAGCCUGUGAAGGUGUGCUGUGAGGCAUGCUGGAGGUAUCAGAAGUGCGAAUGCUGACAUAAGUAACGAUAAAGCGGGUGAAAAGCCCGCUCGCCGGAAGACCAAGGGUUCCUGUCCAACGUUAAUCGGGGCAGGGUGAGUCGACCCCUAAGGCGAGGCCGAAAGGCGUAGUCGAUGGGAAACAGGUUAAUAUUCCUGUACUUGGUGUUACUGCGAAGGGGGGACGGAGAAGGCUAUGUUGGCCGGGCGACGGUUGUCCCGGUUUAAGCGUGUAGGCUGGUUUUCCAGGCAAAUCCGGAGAAUCAAGGCUGAGGCGUGAUGACGAGGCACUACGGUGCUGAAGCAACAAAUGCCCUGCUUCCAGGAAAAGCCUCUAAGCAUCAGGUAACAUCAAAUCGUACCCCAAACCGACACAGGUGGUCAGGUAGAGAAUACCAAGGCGCUUGAGAGAACUCGGGUGAAGGAACUAGGCAAAAUGGUGCCGUAACUUCGGGAGAAGGCACGCUGAUAUGUAGGUGAAGCGACUUGCUCGUGGAGCUGAAAUCAGUCGAAGAUACCAGCUGGCUGCAACUGUUUAUUAAAAACACAGCACUGUGCAAACACGAAAGUGGACGUAUACGGUGUGACGCCUGCCCGGUGCCGGAAGGUUAAUUGAUGGGGUCAGCGCAAGCGAAGCUCUUGAUCGAAGCCCCGGUAAACGGCGGCCGUAACUAUAACGGUCCUAAGGUAGCGAAAUUCCUUGUCGGGUAAGUUCCGACCUGCACGAAUGGCGUAAUGAUGGCCAGGCUGUCUCCACCCGAGACUCAGUGAAAUUGAACUCGCUGUGAAGAUGCAGUGUACCCGCGGCAAGACGGAAAGACCCCGUGAACCUUUACUAUAGCUUGACACUGAACACUGGUCCUUGAUGUGUAGGAUAGGUGGGAGGCUUUGAAGUGUGGACGCCAGUCUGCAUGGAGCCGUCCUUGAAAUACCACCCUUUAAUGGCUGGUGUUCUAACGUAGGCCCCUUACCGGGGUUGCGGACAGUGUCUGGUGGGUAGUUUGACUGGGGCGGUCUCCUCCUAAAGAGUAACGGAGGAGCACGAAGGUUGGCUAAUCCUGGUCGGACAUCAGGAGGUUAGUGCAAUGGCAUAAGCCAGCUUGACUGCGAGCGUGACGGCGCGAGCAGGUGCGAAAGCAGGUCAUAGUGAUCCGGUGGUUCUGAAUGGAAGGGCCAUCGCUCAACGGAUAAAAGGUACUCCGGGGAUAACAGGCUGAUACCGCCCAAGAGUUCAUAUCGACGGCGGUGUUUGGCACCUCGAUGUCGGCUCAUCACAUCCUGGGGCUGAAGUAGGUCCCAAGGGUAUGGCUGUUCGCCAUUUAAAGUGGUACGCGAGCUGGGUUUAGAACGUCGUGAGACAGUUCGGUCCCUAUCUGCCGUGGGCGCUGGAGAACUGAGGGGGGCUGCUCCUAGUACGAGAGGACCGGAGUGGACGCAUCACUGGUGUUCGGGUUGUCAUGCCAAUGGCACUGCCCGGUAGCUAAAUGCGGAAGAGAUAAGUGCUGAAAGCAUCUAAGCACGAAACUUGCCCCGAGAUGAGUUCUCCCUGAGACUUAGAGUCUCCUGAAGGAACGUUGAAGACGACGACGUUGAUAGGCCGGGUGUGUAAGCGCAGCGAUGCGUUGAGCUAACCGGUACUAAUGAACCGUGAG